AGGACGAACGCUGGCGGCGUGCUUAACACAUGCAAGUCGAGCGGUAAGGCUCCUUCGGGAGUACACGAGCGGCGAACGGGUGAGUAACACGUGAGCAAUCUGCCCUUCUCUUCGGAAUAACCAUUGGAAACGAUGGCUAAUGCCGAAUACGACCUCCUUUCGCAUGAUCGGAGGUGGAAAGCUCCGGCGGAGAAGGAUGAGCUCGCGGCCUAUCAGCUAGGUUGGCGGGUAACGGCCCACCAAGGCGACGACGGGUAGCCGGCCUGAGAGGGUGACCGGCCACACUGGGACUGAGACACGGCCCAGACUCCUACGGGAGGCAGCAGUGGGGAAUAGUUGGACAAGUGGGACGCAAGCCUGAAUCCAGCCAUACCGCGUGGGUGAAGAAGGCCUUACGGGUGUAAGUCCGUUUUGUUAGGAAAGAAAGACAUUACGGUUAA
rnacentral:rRNA from 1 species